rnacentral:tRNA from 1 species
GCACAUAUCGUCUAAUGGUAAGACAUUUGAUUCCACUCGAAUAACGAGAGUUCGAUUCUCCCUAUGUGUU